AUGAGGGAUGGAGGCAGAGACGGGCUGUGGUGACACAGCCACCAGCCAAGGAACCUGGACCCUCCCAAGGCUGGAAGAAACGAGGAUUCUCCCCCAAAGUUUUCAGAAAGAGCCUGGCCCACCUGAUGCCUUGAUUUCCAACUGUUAUUGCCUUGCAGAACCUUGGGAGAUGAAAGCCUGGUAUUUUAAGACACCUCAUUCGGGGUGAGAAGGAAGAAAGAGCCUCGGGAGCAGCAUGGAGGAGAAAGUGGAACGCCCCGCUGUCAGGAGCUCAGGGUUUGUGAAUGGGGAGGCAGCAGG